GAUGAAGAACGUAGCGAAAUGCGAUAGGUAAUGUGAAUUGCAGAAUUCAGUGAAUCAUCGAGUCUUUGAACGCACAUUGCGCCCUCUGGUAUUCCGGAGGGCAUGCCUGUCCGAGCGUCAUUGCUGCCCUCAAGCACGGCUUGUGUGUUGGGCCCCGCCCCCCGAUCCCGGGGGGCGGGCCCGAAAGGCAGCGGCGGCACCGCGUCCGGUCCUCGAGCGUAUGGGGCUUUGUCACCCGCUCUGUAGGCCCGGCCGGCGCCUGCCGAUCAACCAAACUUUUUUCCAGGUUGACCUCGGAUCAGGUAGGGAUACCCGCUGAACUUAAGCAUAUCAAUAAGCGGAGGA
rnacentral:misc_RNA from 1 species